rfam:Sorghum bicolor cultivar BTx623 chromosome 3, whole genome shotgun sequence.
UGGUGGGUUUGAUUGGAGACAGGGACGAGGCAGAGCAUGGGAUGGGGCCAUCAACAACAAAAUUUCCAAUUUCCGUUUGCUUGCCCACAAAAUGGAGGGACUUGUCAGGAGAGGUAUCAGGCAGAGAGAAGGUGCCUCCCUGGUGAAAUGGUGAUGGCCUGAGAGAGCUCAGCUGGUGUCCUGGUGUUGUUGCUUCCUCCCCUGCACUGCCUCUUCCCUGGCUCCCCACCGUCGCCCUUGC